rnacentral:rRNA from 1 species
UACGGAGGGGGCUAGCGUUGUUCGGAAUUACUGGGCGUAAAGCGCACGUAGGCGGCUUUGUAAGUUAGAGGUGAAAGCCCAGAGCUCAACUCUGGAAUUGCCUUUAAGACUGCAUCGCUCGAAUUGUGGAGAGGUGAGUGGAAUUCCGAGUGUAGAGGUGAAAUUCGUAGAUAUUCGGAAGAACACCAGUGGCGAAGGCGACUCACUGGACACAUAUUGACGCUGAGGUGCGAAAGCGUGGGGAGCAAACAGG